rnacentral:rRNA from 1 species
GACGAACGCUGGCGGCGUGCUUAACACAUGCAAGUCGAACGGAAAGGCCCUGCUUUUGUGGGGUGCUCGAGUGGCGAACGGGUGAGUAACACGUGAGUAACCUGCCCUUGACUUUGGGAUAACUUCAGGAAACUGGGGCUAAUACCGGAUAGGAGCUCCUGCUGCAUGGUGGGGGUUGGAAAGUUUCGGCGGUUGGGGAUGGACUCGCGGCUUAUCAGCUUGUUGGUGGGGUGGUGGCUUACCAAGGCAUUGACGGGUAGCCGGCCUGAGAGGGUGACCGGCCACAUUGGGACUGAGCUACGGCCCAGACUCCUACGGGAGGCAGCAGUGGGGAAUAUUGCACAAUGGGCGGAAGCCUGAUGCAGCAACGCCGCGUGCGUGAUGACGGCCUUCGGGUUGUAAACCGCUUUCGCCUGUGACGAAGCGUGAGUGACGGUAAUGGGUAAAGAAGCACCGGCUAACUACGUG